rnacentral:lncRNA from 1 species
AUCUUGAGUGUCAUGCAUCAUGUACAUUUCACGUCUUUGGAUAUUUUUUGGUGCUUUGGUGUCUUCAAAUGCUCUGGACCGCUGGAAUACAAGAUGUAUAGAUGUCACCAUCAACGCCUCUCUGAAAUCUGAAGUCUUUCUCCCAUGUCACUUUAAUACAAGCUAUUAUAAUGGAACAUUGACAGUGAAUUGGAGCCACUAUCCCAUUAAUAACAGACUUGUAACGAUCAUGACUGAUGGCAAAAUCAUCUUUGGAAGUCCUAGAGAAGGACGAGUGAAUGUUUUCCCCCUUCUUUCUAAACAUGGAAACUUCUCUAUCCUCAUCAAUGAUCUGCAGUCUUCAGACAUUGAUACCUACUUAUGUCAGCUGAACAGUGAAUGCUGGAGGGUGAAGAUCAUUGAAAGUCGUCCAUACAGAAUCAGUGAGCAAAACCCCUGGUUCUACUUUGCAGCUGGA